rnacentral:rRNA from 1 species
CCUACGGGUGGCAGCAGUGGGGAAUAUUGCACAAUGGGGGAAACCCUGAUGCAGCAACGCAGCGUGAGUGAAGAAGUAUUUCGGUAUGUAAAGCUCUAUCAGCAGGGAAGAAGAAAGACGGUACCUGACUGAGAAGCACCGGCUAACUAAGUGACAGCAGCCGCGGUACUACGUAGGGGGCGAGCGUUAUCCGGAUUUACUGGGUGUAAAGGGAGCGUAGACGGCUGUGCAAGUCUGAAGUGAAAGCCCGUGGCUCAACCGUGGAACUGCUUUGGAAACUGUAUAGCUUGAGUACAGGAGAGGUAGGCGGAAUUCGUAGUGUAGCGGUGAAAUGCGUAGAUAUUAGGAGGAACACCAGUGGCGAAGGCGGCCUGCUGGACAGAAACUGACGUUGAUGCUCGAAAGCGUGGGGAGCAAACAGGAUUAGAUACCCGAGUAGUC